rnacentral:rRNA from 1 species
CGCCUGUUUAUCAAAAACAUAGCCUGUUGGUUUUUUAUAAUAGGUUUUUUCUGCCCAAUGCUUUGGUGGUAAAUGGCCGCGGUAUUUUGACUGUGCAAAGGUAGCAUAAUCAUUUGUCCUUUCAUUGAGGACUGGUAUGAAGGAAAGGUUGAAAUUUUGGUUGUCUCCUUUAUUGUGUUGGAAUUUGCUGUUUUUGUGAAGAAGCAAGAGUUGAUAAAAAAGGACAAGAAGACCCUAUUAAGCUUUAUUUUUGGUGUGUGUUGAUUUUGAGUUAGGGGCUAAUAUCAAGGCUUUCUAAGAGAAUUUGGUUGGGGUGACUAAAGAAGCGUUAUUAUCUUCUUUGUUGUUUUUAACACUUAGUUUAAUGAAGAACCAGGGGUUUUGGUUGUAAGAAUUAGUUACUAUAGGGAUAACAGCGUAAUCUUUUCAUAAAGUUCUUAUUGAAGAAAGGGUUUGCGACCUCGAUGUUGACUUGUUGUUGCCUGUUGUAAGGUGUAGCAGCUGAUAGGGUUAGUCUGUUCGACUAUUAAAACAAUACGUGAUCUGAGUUCAGACCGG